GUCUCAAAGAUUAAGCCAUGC
rnacentral:ncRNA from 2 species